rnacentral:piRNA from 1 species
UGGGAAAGGGAGAGAAAGAAUAGAGAUGG